AGAUUAGCUUGCUUUAGUUGUCAGCUAAGUGGCGCACGGGUGAGUAAUGUAUAGAUAACCUGCCCUCUAGAAAGGAAUAACAGUUGGAAACGACUGCUAAUGCCCUAUAUGCCUUUAAUACAUAAGUAUGCAAGGGAAACGCUUUAGUGCUAGAGGAUGGGUCUGUAUGGUAUCAGUUAGUUGGUGAGGUAAUGGCUCACCAAGACUAUGACGCCUAACUGGUUUGAGAGGAUGAUCAGUCACACUGGAACUGAGACACGGUCCAGACUCCUACGGGAGGCAGCAGUGGGGAAUAUUGCACAAUGGACGAAAGUCUGAUGCAGCAACGCCGCGUGGAGGAUGACACAUUUCGGUGCGUAAACUCCUUUUAUAUAGGAAGAUAAUGACGGUACUAUAUGAAUAAGCACCGGCUAACUCCGUGCCAGCAGCCGCGGUAAUACGGAGGGUGCAAGCGUUACUCGGAAUCACUGGGCGUAAAGAGCGUGUAGGCGGGUAUAUAAGUCAGAAGUGAAAUCCUAUAGCUUAACUAUAGAACUGCUUUUGAAACUGUAUACCUAGAAUGUGGGAGAGGUAGAU
rnacentral:rRNA from 1 species